CACACCGCCCGUCAAGUCAUGGGAGUUGGUUCUAUCUGAAGACGGUGCGCUAACCGCAAGGGGGCAGCCGGCCACGGUGGGAUCAAUGACUGGGACU
rnacentral:rRNA from 1 species